rnacentral:tRNA from 1 species
CAGGAAAUAGUUUAAAUAAAAUAUUAAUUUUGGAGAUUAAAGAUGAAAAUUUAAUUUUUUUUUCCUGA